CCAUCAUUUAGUUGGGCACUCUAAGGUGACUGCCGGUGACAAACCGGAGGAAGGUGGGGAUGACGUCAAAUCAUCAUGCCCCUUAUGACCUGGGCUACACACGUGCUACAAUGGACGGUACAAAGAGCUGCAAGACCGCGAGGUGGAGCUAAUCUCAUAAAACCGUUCUCAGUUCGGAUUGUAGGCUGCAACUCGCCUACAUGAAGCUGGAAUCGCUAGUAAUCGCGGAUCAGCAUGCCGCGGUGAAUACGUUCCCGGGCCUUGUACACACCGCCCGUCACACCACGAGAGUUUGUAACACCCGAAGUCGGUGGGGUAACCUUUUUG
rnacentral:rRNA from 1 species